AUUCUCUCAGCUCUACCCAGUUGCACCUGUUUGUGGCGUGACUGUUGUUACAAGAGAGAAAAAGAAACUGAGCUCCAUUUGCACGGCAUAGCGGCCGCCAUCAUGGCCGCUGUGUUCCUGUAUGAAGCUCUAUAGGU